GGAAACCGGAAGCGCGGUAGUCUGCGGUGUGACGUCACGGUCAUUUCCUCUUUAGCAAUCUCAGCAACAGAGGGCGACAGAGAACAACAAACCAGAGCAGCGAUCCUACAGGUUUGAUUGCGGAUGAAUAAAUCACAUAUUUUCAUGCGUUUAUAGACUCCACAUCGAUCAGACGUGUGACGUUCAGCGCAGAACAAGAGCGAUAUAGAACUACAUACACUAUACAACCGCAUCAUUAAUACAGUGUAGCUCCUCAGUUCAACUAACAUGACAUUCCAGUCAACAAAAAACAAAACAAACCUAAAUGGAUGGAUGCUACGACGAAAAGGCUAUUUAGCCGAAAGAAGUAAACUCGGCCAUAACGACUCGGGGGUUCUAAGAACGUCCCUUCCUAGUUUCUAUAUUUGGAAAUGAGACUUCUAGGAAAAUAGAAACUGCCAGCUCCAUAUCCAGUUCCACGUGUUUAACUUCGCUCCCUUUUAAAGCAAAAGAAAAGCAUCGGGCAGCACGUGAGCGAUUUUACAUACUGCCACCCAUUGAUGAUCAUUAAUAGACGAGAAUGCCAACGAGGAAUUUAGCGCACAAUUGGCGUGUGUUGCUGGAAAUGGCAUCUCCCCCUGCAACGGCCCCUGCUUGCCUAGUAGCGUGAGCAUGAAGCAAUGCGCGAGCGGAGAGCUCUGAACAUGCACAGAGUCAGUCUGCUGCUCAUCUCACUAGCGGGAGCACGUACAGCGUGCACUUAAAGAAACAAUAUGUGAUUCACAUCAGCCACAUGUUUCUUUCAGCCCCACAGCGCGUCUUUAUUCAUUCGAGAUUCCUUUAAAUGUUCAGAAGAAGCCACUGGAGACCUUCCUGUUCCCUUUGGUGUUUAAAGCUUCCAGCAACCAGCUGCACUUCAUGGCCAUAGAUAAAGAAAACCCCAUGCACAAGGAGUUAAUAAGUCAAACAAGUAAGAGCAUUGUCUACAAUUUCAAGAUGCUCUUGGAGGAAGUAAACAAGCAGACAUGGAGACGUGAAAUUAAGAACCCUCUUCUUUCCCCCCUUCCAUGUGACUGCAGAGGCAUAUGACUUCCAUAACUUCAUCGCUCAUUAAGCGCUGAUGGUAGGACACAAUUGAGCGAGUGUUUGUGGAACUUGCCCUAGAUAUUCAGAUCUCAGUCCUUGGCUCUGGCUGUUGGGCAGAUCUUCUCCUGUUUCAGAUAUAUUGACCAUGCCUGACAGCAGACCGUUAGGAGCUUCACAUGAGAGUCCCGUGUAAGGAGUGAACUAUGGGAUAUAAAGUCCUGUUGUGUCCAUUUAAAUGCCUUAACAAGCUCCACAGCAAACAAAAGACAGAUUAGCAUGAUUUACCAUGACGGUAUUAUUAAAUGACCUCAUCUACACAUGAGCCAACAAUUGAGUUACUUUUAUAUGUGUGCAGACAGUAAGCACUGUGUAUUCUUUGUUCAUUAAUAGUUUGGUACACCACAUUUUGUAAGGUCUUGAAUAGAGCUAGCACUGGUUAGACCAAAAUUGCAUAUUCAGAGGUAUCUUUCAAAACCAAUAUUACCUAUUAGCAUCAAAGCUAUGCAUGAACGACUUUAGGCUAGGCAUUGUCUGGGCUUGACUGGGAUGGGAUCUCGUUUAAAAAGUAAUGCAUUUAUAAAAUAUAUAAUUAAAAUGUUGAUUAUAUUAUGUUGUAUAUUUUAAAAUAACGCUGGUAACUCUCAAACAAUAAAGGGAAAACGAUCAAAAUCCUAUUGUCUGUGGUUCGUGUGUAAAUAAAAACUGAUGGGAGGAUGCCACCUAGUGGUAUAUUUCAUGCAACCAGCAGACGGAUGUCUAGUUUCAUUCAGCUCAUACAUUCAUAGAAAAGACAACAAGCUCUAUUAAUGAA
rnacentral:lncRNA from 1 species